rnacentral:rRNA from 1 species
UACGUAGGGUGCAAGCGUUAAUCGGGAUUACUGGGCGUAAAGCGUGCGCAGGCGGUGAUGUAAGACAGGUGUGAAAUCCCCGGGCUUAACCUGGGAACUGCAUUUGUGACUGCAUCGCUGGAGUGCGGCAGAGGGGGAUGGAAUUCCGCGUGUAGCAGUGAAAUGCGUAGAUAUGCGGAGGAACACCGAUGGCGAAGGCAGCCCCCUGGGCCAACACUGACGCUCAGGCACGAAAGCGUGGGGAGCAAACAGG